rnacentral:rRNA from 1 species
GAUGAACGCUAGCGGCAGGCUUAAUACAUGCAAGUCGAGGGGCAGCAUGAUUGUAGCAAUACAAUUGAUGGCGACCGGCAAACGGGUGCGGAACACGUACACAACCUUCCAACAAGUGGGGGAUAGCCCAGAGAAAUUUGGAUUAAUACCCCGUAACAUAGCGAUGUGGCAUCACAUUGCUAUUAUAGAUUUUUCGCUUGUUGAUGGGUGUGCGGCUGAUUAGAUAGUUGGCGGGGUAACGGCCCACCAAGUCUACGAUCAGUAGCUGAUGUGAGGGCAUGAUCAGCCACACGGGCACUGAGACACGGGCCCGACUCCUACGGGAGGCAGCAGUAAGGAAUAUUGGACAAUGGACGCAAGUCUGAUCCAGCCAUGCCGCGUGAAGGAUUAAGGUCCUCUGGAUUGUAAACUUCUUUUAUAAGGGACGAAAAAAGGCUUUUCUAAGUCGUCUGACGGUACCUUAUGAAUAAGCACCGGCUAACUCCGUGCCAGCAGCCGCAGUAA